UACGAAGGGGGCUAGCGUUGCUCGGAAUCACUGGGCGUAAAGGGUGCGUAGGCGGGUCUUUAAGUCAGGGGUGAAAUCCUGGAGCUCAACUCCAGAACUGCCUUUGAUACUGAGGAUCUUGAGUUCGGGAGAGGUGAGUGGAACUGCGAGUGUAGAGGUGAAAUUCGAUUAGAUAUUCGCAAGAACACCAGUGGCGAAGGCGGCUCACUGGCCCGAUACUGACGCUGAUGCACGAAAGCGUGGGGAGCAAACAGG
rnacentral:rRNA from 1 species